GCGCUCUUAGUUCAGCUUGGUAGAACGUAGGUCUCCAAAACCUGAUGUCGUAGGUUCAAAUCCUAUAGAGCGUG
rnacentral:tRNA from 1 species